GCCAGGUGCAGUGGCAUGCACUUGUAGUCCUAGCUCCUGGGGAAGCUGAGGUGGGAGGAUCGCUUGAGCCCAGGAGUUCAAGUCUGCAGUGAGCUAUGAUGGUGCCACUGCACGUCAGCCUGGGCAAUAGAGCGAGACCCUGUCUCAA
rfam:Pongo abelii chromosome 13.